rnacentral:rRNA from 1 species
CCUACGGGAGGCAGCAGUGGGGGAUAUUGCACAAUGGGGGCAACCCUGAUGCAGCGACGCCGCGUGAGCGAUGGAGUACUUCGGUAUGUAAAGCUCUGUCAGCAGGGAAGAGAAUGACGGUACCUGACCAAGAAGCCCCGGCUAAAUACGUGCCAGCAGCCGCGGUAAUACGUAUGGGGCAAGCGUUAUCCGGAUUUACUGGGGGUAAAGGGGGCGCAGACGGCAACGCAAGGCAGGAGUGAAAGCCGGGGGCCCAACCCCGGGACUGCCCUUGGAACUGCAUGGCUGGAGUAGAGGAGGGGCAGGCGGAAUGCGCGGUGUAGCGGUGAAAUGCGUAGAUAUUAGGAGGAACACCGGUGGCGAAGGCGGCCUGCUGGACUGUGACUGACGUUGAGGCACGAAGGCGUGGGGAGCAAACAGGAUUAGAUACCCGAGUAGUC